rnacentral:ncRNA from 1 species
CACGGGAGAGUUCGGGUGGCGGCGUCCACCCGGCGCCGAAGGAGCAACCGCCCCGGAAACUCUCAGGCUAAACGGACCGUG